GGACAAUGUGUCUAGGGGACACUGAGAAGCACAACUUGGCUGGAGCAGAUGGAUGUGUUUUGAGGACAAGAGAUGGGUAUGGAGAAGUGGAGUGGAGUCUUGCUGGGGAAUGCUCCUCAUACCAAGUAAAGGAGUUUGGUCCUCAAGUGAUGGCCUGGCUAACACUAUGGCUCAUAGAAUCAUCUGCUGCUUGGAUUCCUUGCUGCUGCCAAUUAUGAGAAUGUUCUGGAAGUUCAAAACUUUUAUGUACACCUGGGAAUUUGGCCUCGUGAACCUCCUCUUGCUCUUGGGCCUUGUGUGUUUCUGAGAUGGUGUGGAGGCCUUAGAACCAGCCAUCCAGGAGGCUGCCUCACCCAUGAGAUGAUGGGACAGUGAUGCCUCAUACACGGUGCUGGAUGAGGGUAGAACUUCAGGACUUUCCCAGGGAAUUCAAACAUCUUUUGCAAAGUAGGCCACCCCCAGCCCCCAGGACUGGCCCAGACAGACAUCCUAAGUUGAAAUCCCCUCCUGGGAAGACUUGGAAAUAUAGCAAAG
rnacentral:lncRNA from 1 species